GGGGGUAUAGCUCAGCUGGCUAGAGCACCUGCUUUGCAAGCAGGGGGUCAUCGGUUCGACUCCGUUUACCUCCA
rnacentral:tRNA from 2 species